rnacentral:lncRNA from 1 species
CUUCCUUGUGGGGAGGAGAGUCACCUCAGAGAGUCGCUCCUGAGUACUGACUGUGAAUGAAGAACAUAGUCUCUCAUAGAAACUUCUGGCCUCUGGACACUGUGGAAGCAACUUUUCCUUUAUUGGACUGUCUCCUCUUAACUGUACCUAGAAGAUACUUUAGCACAGCAAACAUCUCUUUUAUGCUUACGUUAUGCAGUUAUGCAGACUUGGUGUACGUCCUUCAAGGACAGUCUAAGAAUCGUUGAUUCUAUUUCUGCUGGAUACAUUGUUGCAGAGAUGUAAAAAGGAAGGAUUUAGAAAAGUAUGCUAUAAGAAUUGAAUACGCAGAGGCAAACUAACUUCACAAGGAGAAAAGAAAGAUGGAAACAGCCUAGACAAACUCAAAUCAAGUCCAGGAGACUUACGCUAGAGUUGCUUUUUCUUUUUUUUUUUCUCUUUUUUUUAAAGAUUUAUUUAUUUAUUAUAUGUAAGUACACUGUAGCUGUCCUCAGACACUCCAGAAGAGGGAGUCAGAUCUUGUUACGGAUGGUUGUGAGCCACCAUGUGGUUGCUGGGAUUUGAACUCCUGACCUUCGGAAGAGCAGUCGGGUGCUCUUACCCACUGAGCCAUCUCAUCAGCCCUAGAGUUGCUUUUUCUAAUAGAAGAGACCAGUGUGCAAUUGUGAAUUGUGAUGCUGAGGCAAGCCGCAAGGAUGAAGAGAAUUAAAUAGAGGAGGAAGAGAAGAGGUUCUCCCCUCUGUUGCCUGACAUUUUGAUUAAUGUUAUGAGCUAUGUUUACAGUCAAACCCUAUGCCUUCAUCAUUGACCUUUUUGUUCGCUGUAUUCUGUCUUAUCAGGAGAUAGACCAGUGCAAUGGACCUCAUAACCACAUACAAUCUAGUUUUAUGGGGAAACUCCUUGUAUAAAAGUAAGCAGGCCAGACCUGUCACCCAACCUUUAAAUCUUUUAGACAAUUAUAACUACAAAUCUAGCACAACUGCAUGUGGGUGGCUCUUGUUGAGAGAGUUACCCCCUGCCAAUAAACAUACAUGAAUAUAUACA